GGAGCGCGUAUUUUCAUCUGGUCAUCUGGACUUUCAUCUUGCACGUUUUCUGAUUCAAGUUCAAAGCAAGGCUAAUCAAGAUGAUCUGGAAAUCAACUGAAAAACAACAAUCGGAGGGAAAAUUUAAAGACAGCAAUUGGUGGAUGAAAUGAAGAGAAAAAACCCUGAUGCUGUCUUUGUUAAUCAGAAGAUGGACAUGACUCUCUCCUUGAGGAGAAAGUAUGUUGUGAUCAACAAGCCUCCAGUAAGCCAAAUACUUCAACGUUGGCCAGACUUUUUAGAGAAAGUCAGGUGUAUCAAGAAUUCAACCGGUGGUUGGGAAGAACCUUAAGCAAGAAUUUUAUGGGUCUCUUGAUCGUCACUGUCCUCAACUGAUUCAGAUCUUCAGGUCAAAGAGAGAUCUCGCCGGGCAGAUUUUGAGCGAUCUUCUGCAACAAGCCAAGACCUCUGAUCUCGUUGACAUGCGAUGUGUUGCCAUGAGAGGGCUUCCAGUACUUCUUGGUGAUGACCCAACUGAGUUCUUCAAAGCAUGCUUUGCUUCUGAUGAUGGAGACUCGUACCAACAUGUGCCAGUUGGAAUCCUCAGCUUAGAAAAUUAAGAUGUGGCUCUGCAACCCCUGUCCAUCCAUCUCCACCCAUCCUCGGUGGGAAUCAUCUUGGAGGGGAAUGUUGUAAUGGACAAUUUAGACAACAUACCCCAGGCCAUGUGUCUUCUUUUUGGUUUAACUUACGCACUGCACCUAGACUACCCAAAGUGCAUGGGCAACACCUUUCUUUUCAUUCAGCAAGUUUUGCUAGGUUUAGGAAAGGAGUUGAAGGGCAAGAUUCUGGCUGUAACAAAUCAGCUUACCAUGUAAACAGGUAAAUGCAUUUUUCUUCUGGUUCUCUUUUCAGAAUCGGUUGAGGUUUGGAGACAGCCUCAUGGCUCUGAAGAAAAGGAGUAUACACUUAAGACUGCUGAGCAGAAACUCUUGCAAGAGGACCUACCAAAAAGCAUGAAGAGAAAGAGGGUACCCAACAAACUUUACCUUGACACACAGGAGGAAACUGUAGAACAAGUUGCAAAAAAGAAAAACUACAGACUCAUAGCUGCAAGACAGUCUGAAUUAGACGUUCUUCCCCAAGAAGAACCUAACCACAGCCCAGUGGGGACUGCUUUAGAGGCUCUUGAGGAGGAGAUCAGGGCCCUCAGGGAGGAGAAUGAAAGACUGCAUGACCAGGAUCUUCUGCAGCCAGUAAAGAUCUUGAGACCCAAGUCAAGGCUUUACAUAAGGAGAACACCAGGCUGCGCAAAAUGGCAGUUAAA